rnacentral:lncRNA from 1 species
UGUUUGUGUAAAAGAGUCCUUUUGUGAAUUAAAAUCAACCAACAAACACUUAUUUUCUACCCGAGAACUGCGUGUAGCUUUGAAUUUCCCAUUGCAGCUGGGAAUACGUAGGAGCGGGAUGGUGUAUCUCGUCAAGCACAUUAAUAAAAAACCCUUUUUUGUGUCAAAAAAAAUGUUAAGAGUCUUUAGUGUCUUUUAAUGUCUUUUCUUUGUUUAAUUAGUAUAGAACAAAUAAUAAAGCAUCAUUACACAAGCGCGAGAACUAAUUUUAAUCCUAGAUCUAAAGAGAAG